AGUGGGAGGUGGGGUAGCGGUUCAUAGAGAGAGUCAUCUUCUGAAGGAGUUGUGCAUGUUUCUGGUGAGAGAUACUGUCUAGUGGGAGGUGGGGUAGCGGUUCAUAGAGAGAGUCAUCUUCUGAAGGAGUUGUGCAUGUUUCUGGUGAGAGAUACUGUCUAGUGGGAGGUGGUGUAGUAAUGCUGUCUAGUGGGAGGUGGUGUAGUAAUGCUGUCUAGUGGGAGGUGGUGUAGUAAUGCUGUCUAGUGGGAGGUGGUGUAGUAAUGCUGUCUAGUGGUAGGUGGGGUAGCGGUUCAUAGAGAGAGUCAUCUUCUGAAGGAGUUGUGCAUGUUUCUGGUGAGAGAUACUGUCUAGUGGGAGGUGGGGUAGUAAUGCUGUCUAGUGGGAGGUGGUGUAGUAAUGCUGUCUAGUGGGAGGUGGGGUAGCGGUUCAUAGAGAGAGUCAUCUUCUGAAGGAGUUGUGCAUGUUUCUGGUGAGAGAUACUGUCUAGUGGGAGGUGGAGUAGUAAUGCUGUCUAGUGGGAGGUGGGGUAGUAAUGCUGUCUAGUGGGAGGUGGUGUAGUAAUGCUGUCUAGUGGUAGGUGGGGUAGCGGUUCAUAGAGAGAGUCAUCUUCUGAAGGAGUUGUGCAUGUUUCUGGUGAGAGAUACUGUCUAGUGGGAGGUGGGGUAGUAAUGCUGUCUAGUGGGAGGUGGGGUAGUAAUGCUGUCUAGUGGGAGGUGGAGUAGUA